GUGAGGAAUAUUGGACAAUGGGCGCAAGCCUGAUCCAGCCAUGCCGCGUGCAGGAAGACGCAUCUAUGGUGUGGAAACUGCUUUUGUACGGGAAGAAACACUCCGUCGUGAGGGAGCUUGACGGUACCGUAAGAAUAAGGAUCGGCUAACUCCGUGCCAGCAGCCGCGGUAAUACGGAGGAUCCAAGCGUUAUCCGGAAUCAUUGGGUUUAAAGGGUCCGUAGGCGGUUUAAUAAGUCAGUGGUGAAAGCCCAUCGCUCAACGAUGGAACGGCCAUUGAUACUGUUAGACUUGAAUUACAAGGAAGUAACUAGAAUAUGUAGUGUAGCGGUGAAAUGCUUAGAUAUUACAUGGAAUACCAAUUGCGAAGGCAGGUUACUACUUGUGGAUUGACGCUGAUGGACGAAAGCGUGGGGAGCGAACAGGAUUAGAUACCCGGGUAGUCC
rnacentral:rRNA from 1 species